rnacentral:rRNA from 9 species
AAAUACGACUCUCGGCAGCGGAUAUCUCGGCUCUCGCAUCGAUGAAGGACGUAGCGAAAUGCGAUACUUGGUGUGAAUUGCAGAAUCCAGUGAACCAUCGAGUCUUCGAACGCAAGUUGCGCCCGAGGCCAUUGGGCCGAGGGCACGCCUGCCUGGGUGUCUCG